rnacentral:rRNA from 2 species
GGGUUGUGAGGUUAAGCGACUAAGCGUACACGGUGGAUGCCCUGGCAGUCAGAGGCGAUGAAGGACGUGCUAAUCUGCGAUAAGCGCCGGUAAGGUGAUAUGAACCGUUAUAACCGGCGAUUUCCGAAUGGGGAAACCCAGUGUGAUUCGUCACACUAUCAUUAACUGAAUCCAUAGGUUAAUGAGGCGAACCGGGGGAACUGAAACAUCUAAGUACCCCGAGGAAAAGAAAUCAACCGAGAUUCCCCCAGUAGCGGCGAGCGAACGGGGAGGAGCCCAGAGCCUGAAUCAGCAUGUGUGUUAGUGGAAGCGUCUGGAAAGACGCGCGAUACAGGGUGACAGCCCCGUACACAAAAGCGCAUGUGCUGUGAGCUCGAUGAGUAGGGCGGGACACGUGGUAUCCUGUCUGAAUAUGGGGGGACCAUCCUCCAAGGCUAAAUACUCCUGACUGACCGAUAGUGAACCAGUACCGUGAGGGAAAGGCGAAAAGAACCCCGGCGAGGGGAGUGAAAAAGAACCUGAAACCGUGUACGUACAAGCAGUGGGAGCCCCACCACUAAGCCAGUGGUGAACUCCACAUACGCAUCCUUUGCUGAGGAUACGGUUAACGGAGCGAAAGCGACGUUCAACCUCAAAAGAAGCAGAGGGGGCUUAGUGGUGGGGUGACUGCGUACCUUUUGUAUAAUGGGUCAGCGACUUAUAUUCUGUAGCAAGGUUAACCGAAUAGGGGAGCCGGAGGGAAACCGAGUCUUAACCGGGCGUUAAGUUGCAGGGUAUAGACCCGAAACCCGGUGAUCUAGCCAUGGGCAGGUUGAAGGUUGGGUAACACUAACUGGAGGACCGAACCGACUAAUGUUGAAAAAUUAGCGGAUGACCUGUGGCUGGGGGUGAAAGGCCAAUCAAACCGGGAGAUAGCUGGUUCUCCCCGAAAGCUAUUUAGGUAGCGCCUCGUGAACUCAUCUCCGGGGGUAGAGCACUGUUUCGGCUAGGGGGCCAUCCCGGCUUACCAACCCGAUGCAAACUGCGAAUACCGGAGAAUGUUAUCACGGGAGACACACGGCGGGUGCUAACGUCCGUCGUGAAGAGGGAAACAACCCAGACCGCCAGCUAAGGUCCCAAAGUCAUGGUUAAGUGGGAAACGAUGUGGGAAGGCCCAGACAGCCAGGAUGUUGGCUUAGAAGCAGCCAUCAUUUAAAGAAAGCGUAAUAGCUCACUGGUCGAGUCGGCCUGCGCGGAAGAUGUAACGGGGCUAAACCAUGCACCGAAGCUGCGGCAGCGAACGUAUCACCCAAGACAACUUUACGGAGUUGACGAUUGACGGAGCGAAGCGACGUCAAAGCGUUCAUUAAAGUCGAGUUGGCUUAGGGAUACGUUCGUUGGGUAGGGGAGCGUUCUGUAAGCCUGUGAAGGUGGCCUGUGAGGGUUGCUGGAGGUAUCAGAAGUGCGAAUGCUGACAUAAGUAACGAUAAUGCGGGUGAAAAACCCGCACGCCGGAAGACCAAGGGUUCCUGUCCAACGUUAAUCGGGGCAGGGUGAGUCGACCCCUAAGGCGAGGCCGAAAGGCGUAGUCGAUGGGAAACAGGUUAAUAUUCCUGUACUUGGUGUUACUGCGAAGGGGGGACGGAGAAGGCUAUGUUAGCCGGGCGACGGUUGUCCCGGUUUAAGCAUGUAGGCGGAGGUUCCAGGUAAAUCCGGUACCUUAUUAACGCUGAGGUGUGAUGACGAGGCACUACGGUGCUGAAGUAACAAAUGCCCUGCUUCCAGGAAAAGCCUCUAAGCAUCAGGUAACAUCAAAUCGUACCCCAAACCGACACAGGUGGUCAGGUAGAGAAUACCAAGGCGCUUGAGAGAACUCGGGUGAAGGAACUAGGCAAAAUGGUGCCGUAACUUCGGGAGAAGGCACGCUGACACGUAGGUGAAGUGAUUUACUCA